GACGAACGCUGGCGGCGUGCUUAACACAUGCAAGUCGAACGGAAAGGCCCUGCUUUUGUGGGGUGCUCGAGUGGGGAACGGGUGAGUAACACGUGAGUAACCUGCCCUUGCCUUUGGGAAAAUUUCAGGAAACUGGGGAUAUACCGGAUAGGAGAUGCUGCUCCAUGGAGGGGGUGGGAAAGUUUCGGCGGUUGGGGAUGGACUCGCGGCUUAUACGCUUGUUGCGGGGGUUGUGGCUUACCAAGGCAUUGACGGGUAGCCUGCCUGUGAGGGUGACCUGCCACAUUGGGACUGAAAUGCGGCCCAGACUCCUACGGGAGGCAGCAGUGGGGUAUGGUGCACUAUGGGCGGAAGCCUGAUGCAGCAACGCCGCGUGCGGUAUGACGGCCUUCCGUUUGUAUUCCGCUUUUGUCUGUGACGAAGCGUGAGUGACGGUAAUGGGUAAAUAAGCACCGGCUAACUACGUG
rnacentral:rRNA from 1 species